rnacentral:lncRNA from 1 species
UGGGGACACCGAGCACAGCUCUGGGGGUAGCUGCCCGGUGCUGGGGACGUGCAGUGUGGGCACCGAUCCCCUCCAGCUCCGUGCAGGAUGCGCCCUGGGGUCGUGGGGGCACCGUGCCCGGCAGAGCCACCGGUUGCUGCCCCCUGCUCAUGGUGGGGAUGUUUUAGGGACAAGCUGGGGUCUGGCUCAGCUCGUCCCAUCUUGUCCCGGGGCUCAGCGUCUCCUUCCUCAGCAGGCAGAGCUGCAGCUGCAGGAGCUCUCGCGCUCCAUCUCCUCCUCCUCCUCGCUCAGCGGUACGUCCCGCGCCCCCGGCCGAGCCGAGAGGGGGUCCCGGGGUUGGGGGGGAGGGGGCCGCAUCGUGCCGGGGCUGAGCACCACGGGCGUCUCUCCCCCUUGUGCCGCAGACCUGGGCUGCACCAGCCCCAGCCUCUCGCUGCAGUCCCCGGUGCUGCCGGCGCUGAGCAGCUCCCUGUCGGAGAACGACCUCUCCAGCCCCGUGGAGCCGCCGGCACCCCAAACACGAGGGCAGCUGCCAGUGCUGCCGGGCUCCCCUGCAGGUAUUACAUCCGUCCAUCUGUCCGUCCGUCCGUCCGUCCAUCCCGGCCGCUGACGCCCCUUUUUCUGUCUCUCUCCCCCCCGCAGGCUCGGUGCAGACCUGGCCCCUUCUCUCCACGGCUCCCUCCUGGCCGACGGCAGCGCCGCUCUUCCCCCAAACGCCCCCUCCGAGCACCCCGGGGGCUCCCCCCGUUCCCCCUGCCCUCCCUCCCGCCCUCCCCUCGUCCCCCAUCCCCAGCAGCCCCGUGAGCCCCCCUGUGACCAGCGGUCCCUGGUCCCCGACCACCCCGCUCCUGUCCCUGGCCAACGUCUUCUCCCUGGCGGUGAUGAGCGUGGCCCACACGCUGCUGCCCGCCGUCUCCUCCAUCGCCCCCUCGGGGGGCCACCUCUACCCCCCGCUGCUGCCUCGGCCCCAAAACCUCAUCCUGGGACCCCCUCGUUUCGUCUAUCCCGACCCCGCCAGCAUGGCCAAACCCCCCCCGGCUCACGGCGGGGCGCUGGGGGCCGCUGUCCCCGCUGUGGGGGGUGCCGUGCCCUUCUCUCCUCCAGCACCACCAGGGGGUGAGGCCGCGGGGAGCCCCCCAGCGCCACCGCCACCGUGCGCAUCCACACCGGGGAGCCUGGAGGGCAGCGGGGUGCCGCUCAGCCCCCCCAAGCCCAGCCACCCGCUCAUCGUCGCCGAGUCACUGCCGCCCGGCGUGCCCAAGGCGCGGCUGUCACCCAUCAACGAAGCAGAAGCCAAGCCGCAGAUCCUGGGCCGCUUCCAGGUGACGCCGUCCAAGGAGCCAGCGGUCGCCUCGCCGGCACCGGGCAGCGGCGAGGGCGAGGAGCAUGGCACCGAGCUGGCGGCGAGUGGCUCCCCCCUGCCCCCCGCCCCCGGCACGGGGAGCAGCAGCAGCAGCAGCAGCAGCUCCUCGGAGUCGGAGGCAGCGGUGCAGGACCCCGAGGUGGAGGAGGCGCUGCCCCGGGAGGGCAUGGUGGUGGCGGCGGCAGCCGAGAGCGAGCGGGAGGGCGCCGGGGAGGAGGGCGCUGAGGGUGCUCCGCAGGCGGUGCUGAGCCAGGUGUGGCUGAGCUACUCCCGCAGCCUGUCCUAUGUGAGCAGCGAUGACACCGAGAGCGAGGACGAGGAGAUCUGGGAGGAGCUGCAGAGCCUG